GCUGCUGAAGCUGAGAAGACCAAUUUGAAGCUGAGUUGUUGAUCCACACAAGGUGAGGAAGAACUGGAGCCAAAAGAGGACAAAAUCUGGAAAGAAAGCAGAAGAGACGAAGCAAGAGUGAAAUGGGCAGACGAGAACUGGCCUAAACAAUUCCGGAGGCAGAAUAAAAGACAGUCUAUCCACACCAGAAGGUUCUCAUUCUGAAGAGAUAUGAAAGUGACCUGUGGGAUUUUUCUGAAGUGCUGCUGGCUGGGAACUGCUGGAGUUUCAGCGCAGGUAAACUAUCACAAACUGGGUGCUCGAGCAACAGGAUUUCAUCAGCAUCUCCCGGCUCUGGAGGCUGAAAAUCCAAGAUCACUGUGUCAGCAGGGUUGGUUCUUUCUGUGCCCCUGAGGGAGACUGUUCCAUGUUCCCACAUGGUUUUGCUGGCUUCAUUAGCAUCUUUAGCUUAUAUAAGUAUCACCCCAGACUGCCUUCUUCUUCACACGGAGUUCUCCUUUGUCCAUGCCUGUGUCCAAAUUUCUUCUCUUUAUAAUGACACUAUUUAUACUGGGUUAACUUCGCUGGGGGCUUAGAUGGUAAAGAAUCCGCCUGCAUUGCGGGAAACCUGGAUUCUAUCCCUGGGUCACGAAGAUUCCCUGGAGGAGGAAAUGGCAACCCACUCCAGUAUUCUUGCAUGGAGAAUUCCAUGGACAGGGGAGACCGGAGGGCUAUAGUCUAUGGGAACACAAAGAGACUAACACACACAGGGCCUACUUUAGUGACCUCAUUUUAAGUUGAUUAACUCUGUAAAGACUCUCCAAAUAAGGUCACAUUCUGGAGUUAGGCCUCCAACAUAUGAGUGGAGCAGGGCGGAUUUAUAAUUUGAUCUUUAACAGUUUGGAAUAAAAAUAUAUUAUUAUUGUUAUCAUUUCUACCCAUUUUGGGGUAUUAGGUGCCCGAUUCUGCGUUAACAUUGUGUUAUUAAUCCUUCCCAAGCACUGUGCAAUUACAUGGCAUUGACCUUAUUUUGGAAAUAAAAAGGCCGAGCUGCCAUGAAGUAUAAUAGCUGGCCUGGCAUUGCAGGAAGCAAAUAGUGAAGGCUUUCCUGGCCUAGUUCUGGCUGAGUGUUAUCUACUCUGUGUGUGUGUGUGUGUGUGCGCGCGCACGCGCGUGUGCUUUGUCCGACUCUUUGCGACCCCGUGGACUAUAGCCCCCCAGGCUCUUCUGCCCAUGGGAUUUCCAAGGCAAGAAUACUGAAGCGGGUUACCAUUUCUUUCUCCAGGGGAUCUUCUAGACCCAGAAACUGAACCUGUGUCUCCUGCAUUGGCAGGCGGAUUCUUCACCACUGAGCCAUCUGGGAAGCCCCGUGUUAUCCAUUACAUUCCCAUUUAGGAUGAGACAACCCUGGCCAACCUCAUAAAGCCCUUUCAGGUUUCUGAGUCCUAUCUGAGGCCUGUUAAGCUUUGCCAUUCUAAAGAAAAUGCAAGUCUGCAGGGCUCCCGGGAAAGGUAUGCACGUAUUGAAUUUGUAACGGGAUCCUGGAGUCCCGGCUGUCUUUCUUUAUUCAUGGGCUUCAGAGCUGGAGGUGCAGCAUGGGGAGGAGGACAGGAGGUUGUGUAAUUCUCUCAGGAAGAAAGCCAAAACGAAAAGGAAGAAUGCAAGCAAGCGGCGUCGGUACACAGGCA
ensembl:lncRNA